GGCACCCCAUCCCAAGCAAGAGUCCAGCAUUCACCUGAGGCCUGUGAGAAACCUUGGAGGAGAGCGACCAAGUGAGAAAGAAGGAUCCUGUCCUGUCCAAAAGGCUCUUCCUAAGUUGAGCACCGCAGUUCCAUCUUCUGGGCAUCUGUUUCCACUUGAUGACAUCAAAGGCUGACAGGGAUUUCUGUCACAUAACUAAAUUUGCUUGGCAGUGAUCACAGACAUCAAUUAUCCAGUGAAUGUUGGAGGAAGCCUGUGCCCCAGUAAUAUGAUAUAUGUGGUGGUUUCAGCAAAUGACAGGGGAUCAUUAGAAGCAACCGAGGAGCAUGGAGGGACUGAGAAGGACUGGGUAAACACAUGCAUAAAGCAAUAAUGAUAUAGAUCUUGACUAUUCGAGUGAAUAUCAUUAUUGAUCUCUCUGUAACUCACUGGAAGAUGGAAUAUGCACAACAAAGGGCAUGAAAAGUUAGAGAGAAAUAUCAUUGUAUUUUUCUCUUGCCUCUCUGGAUUUUGCUUACUUUCUCCGCUGAUAUCCAGUGCCUUUCAUAAAAAUAGGAAUGAGCUGUCAGAAGUCUGAAUUUCAUAUCCAGCACUUGCUCUUAGACCUGCCAGAAGGGAAACCAAGGGGGAGGCUUGCCAAAUGGAUAGAGAGGUGAAGAGAGACUCUCAAACCACCCAGGACAACAGCAACCUCUCCACUCCACGAAGACAUUGAUCAGUCCUUUUUUCCUUUCUUCCACCAUCAAUUUGGAAGUGGGGAGGCAGACAUUUUUGCAGCCAAUUCUCAAUUUUCCAUACCAAUGGAGAUCACAGGCAGUCAUCGAUAAAGUUACACAGUAAUCCAAAAACUCCAUU